rnacentral:ncRNA from 1 species
CGCAGGGUAGAAUUCGAUGCGUAUAGGUCUCUAAAAACGGAAUGUGAGUUAGAGAAGAAAAAUUAAACUUUUGAGUUUAAUUUGCGAUGUCGGGUUCGCAUUCACUGUA